rnacentral:rRNA from 1 species
AUUGAACGCUGGCGGCAGGCCUAACACAUGCAAGUCGAGCGGAUGAAGGGAGCUUGCUCCUGGAUUCAGCGGCGGACGGGUGAGUAAUGCCUAGGAAUCUGCCUGGCAGUGGGGGAUAACGUCCGGAAACGGGCGCUAAUACCUCAUACGUCCUGAGGUAGAAAGUGGGGGUCCUUCGGACCUCACGCUAUCAGAUGAGCCUAGGUCGGAUUAGCUAGUUGGUGGGGUAAAGGCCUACCAAGGCGACGAUCCGUAACUGGUCUGAGAGGAUGAUCAGUCACACUGGAACUGAGACACGGUCCAGACUCCUACGGGAGGCAGCAGUGGGGAAUAUUGGACAAUGGGCGAAAGCCUGAUCCAGCCAUGCCGCGUGUGUGAAGAAGGUCUUCGGAUUGUAAAGCACUUUAAGUUGGGAGGAAGGGCAGUAAGUUAAUACCUUGCUGUUUUGACGUUACCAACAGAGUAAGCACCGGCUAACUUCGUG